AGAUCUCAUUGCAUUCUGCAGAAGCUGAGGUUCAGAAAUGUCCAGCUGGCGAGACCUGGCCUCGCAAUGGGAUGGAAGUAAACAAAGAGUGAAUUCUGAAAUCGGUUAAUGCAUGCAGUGCCUGGAAAGGCUGGAGGAAGAGGCAGGCCUCAAGCUGGGGACCAUUCUGAACCUGUCGCGCUUUGGGGCAGAAAUCCCUCCAGCUCACAGAGGGAACUUGGAGAAAUCCCUUCUAACCAAACAAGUUCAUCAGGAUCCAGGAAGUAAUCUAUGGUCACAGGACUGUUGCCUGGAGCCCCAGUGCUCUGACAAAGGGAAGGGUCAAAGGGUUGCUGAUUCUGG
rnacentral:lncRNA from 1 species